rnacentral:rRNA from 1 species
GACGAACGCUGGCGGCGUGCUUAACACAUGCAAGUCGAACGGUAAGGCUCCAGCUUGCUGGGGUACACGAGUGGCGAACGGGUGAGUAACAUGUGGGUGACCUGCCCUGCACUUCGGGAUAAGCCUGGGAAACUGGGUCUAAUACCGGAUAGGACCAUGGUGUGGAUACUGUGGUGGAAAGUUUUUUCGGUGUGGGAUGGGCCCGCGGCCUAUCAGCUUGUUGGUGGGGUAAUGGCCUACCAAGGCGGCGACGGGUAGCCGGCCUGAGAGGGUGGACGGCCACAUUGGGACUGAGACACGGCCCAGACUCCUACGGGAGGCAGCAGUGGGGAAUAUUGCACAAUGGGCGGAAGCCUGAUGCAGCGACGCCGCGUGGGGGAUGACGGCCUUCGGGUUGUAAACUCCUUUCACCAUCGACGAAGGGUUUCUGACGGUAGAUGGAGAAGAAGCACCGGCUAACUACGUG